rnacentral:lncRNA from 1 species
UUUUUUUAGUGGUGUCCUGUGGUGUGCAAAAGCUUUUGAGUUUAAUUAGUACUCAUUGGUUUAUUUUUGUUUUUAUUGUCAUUAUUCUAGGAGGUGAAUCAAACAAGAUGUAGUGAUUUAUGUCAAAGAGAUCUCUGCCUCUGUUUUCCUCUAGGAGUUUUAUAGAGUCUGGCCUUAAAUGUAUGUGUUUAAUACAUUUUGAGUUUAUUUUUGUAUAUGGUGCUAGAGAAUACUCUAAUUGCUCCCUGACUGUUGAGCAGGAGAAUAUGUACUUCUGGUGGUCUCUCUCCUGACCUGGCUGCAGUUCAACAUUAGGGAGCAAUUACAGCAUUCUAUAUCACCAUAUACAGAAAUAAAAGGUAUUAAACACAUACAUUUAAGGCAAGAUGCUAUAAAACGCCUAGAGGAAAACAUAGGUGGACUUCUCUUUGAAUAAAUCAAAACAUCUUGGUUUUUUGUUGUUUUUUUUCUUAACAAUAUUUAUUCUUUUUUUAUUACUCAAAUGAAUUUAUGACAUCUGUAGUUAUAUAAUGAUCAUAACAAUCCAAUUUUAUAAGACUGCCAUCCCAUAACACAAGAACAUCCCUUCACUCCCCAAACUGUCUCCUUUGGAGACAAUAGGUUUUUUCAAUGUCUGUGAGUCAGCAUCUGUUCUGCAAAGAAGUUCAGUUUGUCCUUUUUUCAAGUUCCACAUGUCAGUGAAAGCAUUUGAUGUUGGUUCUCAUUGUAUGGCUGAUUUUGCUUAGCAUGAUAAUUUCUAGGUCCAUCCAUGUUGCUACACAUGCUGGUAUUUCAUUCAUUUAAUGGCUGGGUCAUAUUCCAUUGUGCAUAUGUACCACAUCUUCUCAAUCCACUCCUCUGUCGAUGGACAUUUAGGUUGUUUCCAUGUCUUGGCUAUUGGAAAUAGUACUGCAAUGAACAUCGGAGUACAUGUGUUUUUCCGAGUCAUGGCUUUCUCUGGAUAGAUGCCCAAGAGUGGGAUUGCUGGAUCAAAUGAUAGUUCUAUGUUUAGUUUUCUGAGGAAUCUCCAUACUGCUUCCCACAGUGGUCACACAAAUUUACAAUCCCCCCUACUGUGUACUAGGGUUCCAUUUGUUCCACAUCCUCUCCAGCACAUUGUUUGUGGCCUUUUUGAUGAUGGCCAUUCUGGCUGGUGUAAGCUGGUACCUCAUCAUGGUUUUGAUUUGCAUUUCUCUUGUAAUGAGUGAUGUUGAACAUCUUUUCAUGUUUUUUGGCCAUCUGUAUGUCUUCUUUGGAGAACUGUCUGUUUAGAACUUCUGCCCAUUUUGCAUGAGGUUGUUUGUUUUUUUGGUAUGCAGCUGAAGAAGGUGUUUAUAAAUUUUGGAGAUGAAUCCCUUGUCAGUUGAAUCACUUGCAAAGAUUUUCUCACAUUCUGUGGGUUGUCUUUUCAUUUUGUUUAGGGU